UACGGGGGGGGCAAGCGUUGUUCGGAAUUACUGGGCGUAAAGGGCUCGUAGGCGGCCAACUAAGUCGGAUGUGAAAUCCCCAGGCUUAACUUGGGAACUGCAUCCGAUACUGGAUGGCUUGAAUCCGGGAGAGGGAUGCGGAAUUCCAGGUGUAGCGGUUGAAAUGCGUAGAUAUCGGAAGGAACAUCAGUGGCGAAAGCGACUGCCUGGCCAAAUACUGACGCUCAUGUGCGAAAGCGUGGGGAGCAAACA
rnacentral:rRNA from 1 species